rnacentral:rRNA from 1 species
UCUGGUUGAUCCUGCCAGUAGUCAUACGCUUGUCUCAAAGAUUAAGCCAUGCAUGUCUAAGUAUAAAGGUUACAUACAAUGAAACUGCGAAUGGCUCAUUCAAACAGUUAUAGUUUAUUUGGAUUUACACAUUAGUUAAAUGGAUAACCGUAGUAAUUCUAGGGCUAAUACAUGCGUUACGGGGGACUUUACGGAACCCCAGUAUUUAUUAGAUUCAAACCAAUAUUCCGAAGGUCUACUUGAGAUGAUUCAUGAUAACUGAUCGAAUUGCUGGUCUACCGGCAAUAAGUCAUUCAUGUUUCUGCUUCCCAUCAGCUUGAUGGUAGUGUAUUGGACAACCAUGGCAUUCACGGGCUAUCGGGGGAUUAGGGUUCGAUUCCGGAGAGGGAGCCUGAGAAACGGCUACCACUUCUACGGAAGGCAGCAGGCGCGAAAAUUAUCCAAUCCUGAUUCAGGGAGGUAGUGAAACAAAUAAUGAACUAGGAUUUAUCCUGGGGUCACAAUGGGCUUGAUUUGCAAACUUUAUUUAGCGAGGAACAAUUGGAGGGCAAGUCUGGUGCCAGCAGCCGCGGUAAUUCAGCUCCAAUAGUGUAUAUUAAUGUUCCUGCAGUUAUUCGAUGCUCGUAGUUGGAUUUCUGGAGGCUGAGAUCGGAGGGUAGCCAAGGUUACCGCUGAACUCUUCCUUCAUCCACCUGUUAACGUUGUCCGGGAUUCGUUUCUCGGCUUCGGGCUCAGGCAUAUACUUUUACCCUUUUUCUAUAUUUAUUGUUUGAGUAAAUUAUAGUGUUUCAGGCAGGCGUGCGCCGGAAUACUUUAGCAUGGAAUAAUCGAAUUGGACCGUGUAUUCUUAUUGAAUUCUUCCUUAUUGUUGGUUCAAGGACACGGAAAUGGUUAAUAGGGAUAGUGUUUUUAUUAUCAGGGGAGGCAUUAGUAUUUAAUUUCCAGAGGUGAAAUUCUUUGAAAUAUUAAAGACUAACUUAUGCGAAAGCAUUUAUUAUUGCCAAUAAUGUUUUCAUUAAUCAUUGAACGAAAGUUAGGGGAUCAAAGACGAUCAGAUACCGUCCUAGUCUUAACCAUAAACGUUGCCGACUAGGGAUCGGAGGGCGUGCACAUUCCGCCUUCGGCACCUUACGAGAAAUCAAAGUCUUUUGGGUUCUGGGGGUAGUAUGGUCGCAAGGCUGAAACUUAAAGGAAUUGACGGAAGGGCACCACCAGGAGUGGAGCUUGCGGCUCAAUUUGACUCAACACGGGAAAUCUUACCAGGUCCAGACAUAGCGAGGAUUGACAGAUUGAUAGCUCUUUCUUGAUUCUAUGGGUAUUUUUUAUAUAUUUUUGGUGGUGCAUGGCCGUUCUUAGUUGGUGGAGUGAUUUGUCUGGUUAAUUCCGUUAAACGAACGAGACCUCAGCCUGCUAAAUAGUUACCUGUCUUUUCC